GUGAAUCAUCGAAUCUUUGAACGCACAUUGCACUCCCUGGUAUUCCGGGGAGCAUGCCUGCUUGAGGGUCGUUAGAAGAAAAAUCGAAGCAUCGCUCUUUUUUUGUGGGUGAUCGUGUCGGAAUUGAGCCGUCUCCAAACUGUUAAUUCAUGUCAAAGUGGUUUAAAAUUCAUCCACCCGGUACGCCUAAAGCGUAUUUAAGAUCAACUUUGAUUAAGAAUGUGCGAGGACGUACCUUCUCAUGUAGUAGAUUUGACUUGGAGUCGUA
rnacentral:misc_RNA from 1 species